rnacentral:rRNA from 1 species
AAUAUUGCACAAUGGGGGAAACCCUGAUGCAGCGACGCCGCGUGAGUGAAGAAGUAUCUCGGUAUGUAAAGCUCUAUUAGCAGGGAAGAUAAUGACGGUACCUGACUAAGCAGCACCGGCUAACUACGUACCAGCAGCCGCGGUAAUACGUAGGGGGCAAGCGUUAUCCGGAUUUACUGGGUGUAAAGGGAGCGUAGGUGGUUCGGUAAGACAGAUGUGAAAGCCCGGGGCUCAACCCCGGGACUGCAUUUGAAACUAUCGAACUAGAGUGUAGGAGAGGUAAGUGGAGUUCCUAGUGUAGCGGUGAAAUGCGUAGAUAUUAGGAGGAACACCAGUGGCGAAGGCGGCUUACUGGACUAUAGCUGACACUGAGGCUCGAAAGCGUGGGGAGCAAACAGG